CGUGUCGUGAGAUGUUGGGUUAAGUCCCGCAACGAGCGCAACCCUUGACCUUAGUUGCCAGCAUUUAGUUGGGCACUCUAAGGUGACUGCCGGUGACAAACCGGAGGAAGGUGGGGAUGACGUCAAAUCAUCAUGCCCCUUAUGACCUGGGCUACACACGUGCUACAAUGGAUGGUACAAAGGGCUGCAAGACCGCGAGGUUUAGCCAAUCCCAUAAAACCAUUCUCAGUUCGGAUUGUAGGCUGCAACUCGCCUACAUGAAGCCGGAAUCGCUAGUAAUCGCGGAUCAGCGUGCCGCGGUGAAUACGUUCCCGGGCCUUGUACACACCGCCCGUCACACCACGAGAGUUUGUAACACCCGAAGUCGGUGAGGUAACCUUUUGGAGCCAGCCGCCGAAGGUGGGACAGAUGAUUGGGGU
rnacentral:rRNA from 1 species